rnacentral:tRNA from 1 species
GGGCUCGUGGCGCAGCCUGGUAGCGCGCCUGAUUUGCAAUGACUUCUUUCUUUCAAAAAGAAAGAACUCAACUAGAAAGAAACGUUCUAGCACAAAAAAUCAGGAGGCCGUGGGUUCAAAAGCCCACGCGCCGCAACGGCGGCGGGGCUGAAAAUCCCACCGAGUCCA